rnacentral:rRNA from 1 species
GACGAACGCUGGCGGCGUGCCUUACACAUGCAAGUCGAACGGCAGCACGGGUGCUUGCACCUGGUGGCGAGUGGCGAACGGGUGAGUAAUACAUCGGAACGUACCUUAUCGUGGGGGAUAACGCAGCGAAAGCUGUGCUAAUACCGCAUACGCCCUGAGGGGGAAAGCGGGGGAUCGCAAGACCUCGCGCGAUUAGAGCGGCCGAUGCCUGAUUAGCUUGUUGGUGGGGUAAAAGCCCACCAAGGCGACGAUCAGUAGCUGGUCUGAGAGGACGAUCAGCCACACUGGGACUGAGACACGGCCCAGACUCCUACGGGAGGCAGCAGUGGGGAAUUUUGGACAAUGGGGGCAACCCUGAUCCAGCAAUGCCGCGUGAGUGAAGAAGGCCUUCGGGUUGUAAAGCUCUUUUGUCAGGGAAGAAACACCGGCUCUAACACAGUCCGGGAAUGACGGUACCUGAAGAAUAAGCACCGGCUAACUACGUGCCAGCAGCCGCGGUAA